rnacentral:lncRNA from 1 species
ACAGACUGACUGGGGAUUUCUCCAUCACUGCUGCCCAUAGGAAGAACAAAGAUAGGAAGAGUGGAUGCAGCAGAUUUUAUACUAGGCACUGUCCUGGAGCCAGAGAUCCCAGAGGGAACAAGCCUCCUACCCUACCAAACUUAUCUCCUGUGACCUUCUUUCCUGAGUCAAGCUGGGAUCUUCUUUGCUCUGUGUGGGCAGGUUUACAUCACAGCUUGGCAAGAUUUCUCCAAGCUCCACCUAAUGUUUGGCUGUGGGUCUCUGCAUCUGCUUCCAUCAGUUACUGGGUAAUGCCUCUCAGAUAGCAGCUAUGCCAAAGUUUAUGAGGAAUCAAGUUCUACCUCUGGUAAAAGGCUUCUUGCUCCCAGAAGAGAGGUGAAUAGGAACAUACACCUUUGAAUGAGAUCUCGCCACUUACUGAAGUUAUCAUCAUCAGAUCUGCCCCGCAAACAUACCUCUUUACACCUACCUAUAAAAACUUGUCUAGACAUUUUUAAAAGUCAAUAGUCGUCAUUCAUUGGAUUGGCAUAUGGUGAUGUAUGUGAAUUUUUUACUCCUGAGUGUGUUUUGUUAGGAAUGGGUGCCCACAGAGACUUCCAGAUGCACUUUCUCUCCUGGUCAGGUCGAGUUUGUAAAGCAUGCUGGUAUUCUAAUUUUGCACAUUUCUAUAUAUUUAGCUAUAUUCAUUGAUUUUUCUUUACAAGUCUCUUCUGGGUUCAUAGUUCUUACUGUGAAAACCUAAAUCCUCUUUAAACACAGUGGCUUCCUUGACUAAAAAAGACAGUUUACUAGAUGUAGCAUACAAACCAGUAGCACUCUGGAAGUUUUCCUUCUACAGAUGUUUGUUUUUAACCUGUAAAUGCCUUUAUAUCACAGCUCAGCAUAUGUGUGAGUGACAUAGAAAAUUCAAGAAGUAAGAAAGUUAUCACAGCUCAGCAUAUAUGUUAGUGAUAUAUAAAAUACAUGGGAGUGAGAAAGUUACCACAGCUUACAAUAGGUGUGAGUAACAUAUAAAAUACACAGGAGUAAGAAAGCUAUAUAAACUUGGAAUGUAUCUGUUUCUGCACUGUAACAUGGAAAUGAAAGCUCAAGUCAUGCAAGUUUAUUUAAAUUCUUCCCUUAUGUCAUGAACAUUCAUUUGUUAAUGUUUACUAAUUAAUAAAUUGCACAUAAGUUAGUUUAAAUCAAGAAAAUGACUCAUAUAUGACUAUAAUUUUAAAUCCUUAAAUAUCUCUACAUUUUAAAGUCAGUGAUGUAAAGAAUUAAAGAUAGAAAAUUUUUUCAGAUGAGCAUAGAUGAUUGGAGAGAUGUCUCCAUGCUUAAUAGCACUUGUUCUUCUUCCAGAGAAUUUGAGUUUGCAUGCAAGCCCUCACAUUUGUUGCUUUACUCCCUCCUGAAACUGCAGCUCCAGAGCAUCUCAUACUGUCUUGUGGCCUUUGAGGGCUCGCAUGCACACACAUACAGAUUCACAGAUAAAUGGACACACACACACAUAAACAUACUAUCUAUCUAUCUAUCUAUCUAUCUAUCUAUCUAUCUAUCUAUCUACCACAUUUUGUAAGUAAGUGAGCAUUGGCAACAUUAAAAAACUAUUAUUAUCCUUUAAUAAAGAAAAUGAUAUUGAUAUU